rnacentral:lncRNA from 1 species
GAGAUUAUGAAGUACUAAAAAAGUGAAACUUUGUCAUAAAAAUGGGAUUUUAAGAUUAUAAAAAAACUGAACAAGUUGGAAACUAAUUUACAUAGGAGGGGCGAUAAACCUUGCCUCCCUAAGAUUCAUAUGAAAAUAAAAAAAAGUACAGUGAGUUCCUAUGAAAAUUACCUGUGUACAGAUGCAGUAAGAAAUAUCUGCGAUUAGGGUGCGUAGUCGUCAAGAUUUUCGGAAGUCUUUAUACAGUUCAUUACUUCAAGACUAUCCUUGAAGCAUACUUGUUUAGUAAAUGGUGUAAAAAGGAAUGACAUAAAAUUGCAUGAUUUUUAUUCUGAAGUAGGUUAGGGGAAUUGCUGAUGCAACUACUUAUUUAAUGUAAAAUUCCAAUUGCCAAUUGUUUUUGCUGAUGCAUCCUCCUUGUGUUCUCUUUGAGUAUAUUCUGGUGGUGCUGUUUUCUUGUUACCUCUUCCUGCUGUAGUUACUCAAAAACAUCUCCGAUUCACUAUAGUUGUUGCAUCAAUUUCUCUUCAAGUACUGCUGAAAUCAUCUUCUUCUAUCCCCUUGUGCGUUAGAUGGCAGUGUGCUCUGCAAUUCUGUUACUUUUGGAAAUUCUACAUUUGAUAUAUUUGAAUUAGUAAUCAGCUGGUAUUUGAUGGUUCGUUUAAUUGAAAUAUUCUUUCUUCUUCAGUGUUGCUUAAGUUUUCUCAUUGCAGGUUCUCUUAUAACAACAAAUGUUUGUCUAACAAACUAACCUUCAAAAGGGAUGCAUCUUUCUUUUGUCUGGUAUGCAAGAACGUACCAGGGAAGCAUGCUGAAGAAUGUACUUUAUUGAAAUUACAUCUAUCAUAAUCUUUUUGUAAUUUUGUACAAACUUUGUUCCUAGACAGAUUAGGUACCGACGGGGAACAAAUCAAAGAAAUUUUUGAUGAACAAUUUGGUAUUGGAGAAUGAACGAGGAAUUGAAAGUAAACACAGAGUUAAGAAGCAAACGAACGGCCACUCACCAAAAGAGAAGAGAAAUGAGAGGGAACUAAAAUCAGAGAAAGUUGGGGAUGUUCCUUUCAAAUUGCAGAGAAGAAACGAUAUGGGUAAAUGAACACGGGGAAAGCUAAAAGAAGAGUAUUACCAUUUUGCCUAUACAGAUCUUUGCAGUGUUGAGUACAUAUCUUUGCAAUCUUACUGAACUAUUGAAACAAGUACAUAUCUUUCAGUGUUGAGUCUUUUUGGUACUUUUCGGGCUAUACAGAUACAAACAUAAUGUUGUCGGGCAUAUAUGCCCGUGCAUAGCACGGGCACCGGCCAUCUAGUUUAAAUAUAAACACGAGCGGUUUUGGUCGUUUAAUUUUAAACAAAAUUGAG